rnacentral:rRNA from 1 species
GGUGAAUACGUUCCCGGGCCUUGUACACACCGCCCGUCACACCAUGGGAGUGGGUUGCAAAAGAAGUAGGUAGCUUAACCUUCGGGGGGGCGCUUACCACUUUGUGAUUCAUGACUGGGGUGAAGUCGUAACAAGGUAACCGUAGGGGAACCUGCGGUUGGAUCACCUCCUUACCUUAAAGAAGC